UUCCUACUCCCUCCGUUCCAAAUUACUUGUCUUAGAUUUGUUUAGAUACGGAAGUAUCUAGCAUCAAAAUGAGUCUAGAUACAUCCGUAUCUAGACAAAUCCAAGACAAGUAAUUCGGAACGGAGGGAGCAGCUU
rnacentral:pre_miRNA from 1 species